GGUGGGUUCCCGAGCACUAAAGGGAGCAGACUGUAAAUCUGCCGUCAUCGACUUCGAAGGUUCGAAUCCUUCCCCCACCACCA
rnacentral:tRNA from 1 species